ensembl:lncRNA
CAUCACAGGCCUGGAACCAGACUCUGAGUACACUGUUAAAGUCUACACUGAACUCCAACAUGGAGGAAAGAGCCAGCCUGCUUCUCUUAAAAUCAAAACAGAGAUCCCAGUCCCAGAGCGUCUGACUGUGAGCUCCAUCACUGCAUCAUCUGCUAGCCUCAGCUGGCUGGUGUCUCCUGAGAUGGAGCAGACUCCACACAGCUUCCUGGUCUCUUACCAGAGUGAAGGGACUGAGCCAAAGUCUAUCUCUACUGAGUCAUGCAGCACAGACAUCACAGGCCUGAAACCAGGAACUGACUACACUGUUAAAGUCUACACUGAGCUCCAACAUGGAGGAAAGAGCCAGCCUGCUUCUGUUCAGAUGAAGACAGAGAUCCCAGUCCCAGAGCGUCUGACUGUGAGCUCCAUCACUGCAUCAUCUGCUAGCCUCAGCUGGCUGGUGUCUCCUGAGAUGGAGCAGACUCCACACAGCUUCCUGGUCUCUUACCAGAGUGAAGGGACUGAGCCAAAGUCCAUCUCUACUGAGUCAUGCAGCACAGACAUCACAGGCCUGAAACCAGUAACUGACUACACUGUUA